UACGUAGGCAGCGAGCGUUGUUCGGAGUUACUGGGCGUAAAGAGUGCGUAGGCGGUUUUCUAAGUCUGGCGUGAAAGCUCUCGGCUAAACCGGGAGAGGUCGUUGGAUACUGGCUGACUAGAGGACGGUAGAGGCGUGUGGAAUUCCGGGUGUAGUGGUGAAAUGCGUAGAGAUCCGGAGGAACACCAGUGGCGAAGGCGACACGCUGGGCCGUACCUGACGCUAAAGCGCGACAGCAUGGGGAGCAAACGGG
rnacentral:rRNA from 1 species